AAAAAUAUUCAAACAUAUCUAUAGUUCAGGGAAUUUCUAGAUUUAAGGGCGAUAUAUGUUUUUUUUUUUGUGCGUGGGUCGACUCAUAUCUUAAUGCCGAUCAAAAUUAUGAUGAGCAACUCAUCAUACCCCUAUCAUUAUCAUUAUUUUUGCAAGAGGGUAUAAGACAAUAGGCCGGCCACACACAUUGCCUACUAAUUAACGGCGAGUUGGACGGCCACCAAGAGCGUGGCUCAAUUGAAGAGCAUCCAAUAUUGUGGCAUAGAUGCGCCCCCCAUAGGGUAGGGAGUUGACAUAAAUUACUAUCACAACAAAUUACAGCUGCAGCUAUAACGAAGAAAAUCAACUCAGGCGACGGCUGGAUCUGCUUUUUCCUCGCUCGCCUCGGACACAUCAUUCUGAGGAAAAUGUAAAAUGCAAAGACUCAAAGGCAUUGUCUGAUGCACGCCCCAACUGGACUCAUAUUUAUUUAAGCAAUCAACAGACCGCUGCUGGCCUAGCUAGCCUAGCUGGCAUGGAGUCAUCUCUGUUCCUUGUGCAAAUCAAAAACACAAAACUAAUUCCUUUGACAAUGCCACACGCCGCCACCAGCCACAGAGCCUGGCCGGGAGAAGAGGAGCAUGGAAAGGAAAAAUGGGCAUGGCUUUGGGAGCUGGGUCUGUUCGGCUUAACGAGAUGUUAGCUGAAUGGCAGCUGAGCUGAGCUGAAUUGAAUUGAGUUGAGUUGUUUCUCCAAAGCAGAGGGGCCUGUCAAAGAUGCAUUCAAGGAUUAAAUUAAUGUCACAGCAAGUGGACAAUAGCCCCCCUUUCCCAGAGGGCACAGUCAGCUCUGCAAUAUUAACGCUUAAUUGUUUGUGGACAACGGGUCUAGGAGAGGUGAGGCGCAACGAGGUAAGCUACCUGCUACGGGCCUGGCUACUGCUGCUGAGAUGAAGUCAUAAAGAACUCGCAGCUGGGUAACCUUUAAAUAUGGAAAUGUAUGCCCAGGGUCGUAGAUUGCCCCGGGGAUCUGUUGGCCUCGUCCAUUGCUGCUGCCGCCGCCAGUUCUGCCUCUUAUGUCCCUGCCUUUUCAUACUUUAAAUCAAAUCGCAUUAACAUUUCUUUACAAUUUUCUGCUCAGCAUCGUGACAAAAAAUAAAGUGUUUGUUGGUCGGGGGCCAAAGCGCAUAAAAA